UAAUAAAAAACAAACUCAAAAAGAGACAAAAAGAAAAGAAAAAAAAUGUGCAGCAAGCACAUUUUUUCCCCCAACAAUACUAUUAAGAUCACAUUACCUUCACCAAACACAGCUAGAGAUGCGUAGAUGUUUCCAAUUGUACACCGAUUUGCCCCUCAGCACAUUUAGUUCAACAACAGGAGGCCAAAGGAAUUCUUUUGGUUCCCAAAGUUUGAUAAAAAAAAAACAAGAAAGAAAAAAAACAACAACCUUUUCUUAAUACCCCUGAAUUACUUGAUCACUGACCUGCACAAUUCAAUACAAUUUUAGUUAUUGAGCUAAUUUUAAAACUAUUACCUCUCUCACGCAGAAAAAGGGGCUGAAAUCACUUUGCUCUUUAUUGCUGCUCAUAGUCAGUUCAAACCCCAUGUCCCUCACCUAUAAAAAACAAAAAAAAAAACAACAAGAGAACGUAAA